CAGUGUUUGUGGCAAAUUGAUUGAAAUUAAGGUUAUUAAAGAACUGGACCCUCCGUUAUGAAACGUCUCAAAGUAGCACUGUAAUUCCUCUCUUACGUAUGGCAACUGGCAAUGUUAAACAUCAGGACUGUCUCCAUAUUGCGUUUUAUGGAUGCAGGCAGAAGACACAAGACUCCUGGGUCAGAGACAAAGGGCAUUAUUUCUCAGGACACAGGAAGCAUCAUGAGCAUCAGUAUGUUUGGGUCAGUUCUCUUCACCUACAAGUCCCACACGGAUG
rnacentral:lncRNA from 10 species